GUAAAGCGUGCGUAGGUGGUCGUUUAAGUCCGUUGUGAAAGCCCUGGGCUCAACCUGGGAACUGCAGUGGAUACUGGGCGACUAGAGUGUGGUAGAGGGUAGCGGAAUUCCUGGUGUAGCAGUGAAAUGCGUAGAGAUCAGGAGGAACAUCCAUGGCGAAGGCAGCUACCUGGACCAACACUGACACUGAGGCACGAAAGCGUGGGGAGCAAACAGGAUUAGAUACCCUGGUAGUCCACGCCCUAAACGAUGCGAACUGGAUGUUGGGUGCAAUUUGGCACGCAGUAUCGAAGCUAACGCGUUAAGUUCGCCGCCUGGGGAGUACGGUCGCAAGACUGAAACUCAAAGGAAUUGACGGGGGCCCGCACAAGCGGUGGAGUAUGUGGUUUAAUUCGAUGCAACGCGAAGAACCUUACCUGGCCUUGACAUGUCGAGAACUUUCCAGAGAUGGAUUG
rnacentral:rRNA from 1 species